GAGAGCGAUUUAACAUGCACAGUUGAUAACAAAAAAAUGCGAAAGUCGUGUGCAUUCUCUAUUGGUAUCAAAUGUGCUAUAGAAAAUUUGUGUAUCAGAAAUUUGGUAUCAGAUGUGCACGUGCAUAACUGAUACCAAACUACGGUGAAACACUUAUGAAGUGCCGAUGUGGUCGAUUUAAUGUCUUCGUCCAGACUUAUAUAUAUAUAUAUUGCUAUUUCGACUUUUGAUUACUUAACCUUUUUAUAGCAUUAUUCAAAUAAGUCAAGUUCAAGAUUUCCCUAAUUUCAAACUAAAAUAUUUUAGACCCACAAUUAUUUACUUCUAUCGAGAAUUAAAAAAAUUACUGAAUGAAAAUUAUUUGCGUAAUUAUAAUUUAGGCUAAACGUAUGUAUCUAGACAAACGUUGAAUUUUGAAUUCCACUUUGAAUUUUGCGACGAUCUAUCCGGUAAUAUCUCAGCUAAGUAGGUGUCUAACGAUAUAUUUAUAGAAUGUUUUACGAUGAAUAUAUUUUGUCUUUUAUUAUAUUUUCAUGCGUGUGUAGUAUUGACUGAUGAUGCCGUUUCAAUUCUCAGACGGGGGUAAUUGAAGGCAAGGACAGCUAGAAUCUAGUAUCGACUGCAGCGCGCUGCCGCUGGUUGUCCAGGCCUGUCAUGCCUGUCCGGGAGAGCUCCGCGGAGACAGAUAACGUUUGUGCCCGUCGCGAUCAUGCUGGUUCAUGGUUGAAUGGGAGGGGGCCGGGGGUGACUCUUGUCUUUUAUAAAAAAGUCAAGACUCUUGACUUUUAUUAAAAAAAUCAAAAUCAUGCAUUGAAUAAAACAAUUACGGAUAUUUUAGCUUUGAUUAUUGAUCUAGGCCUAGUAGUCAUAGUCACUAUCAAUGAAUUACGAGUACUACGGUAUACUUUCAGUCUUUUUUUCAGACUCUUUGUUUGUCAAAAUAGUAAAGCCUACAAAAGUUAAGGACAAUUCCACCCGAACUUGAUUUGAAAUCAAAAUGUUCAGUGUAGAUCUAGUCAUGUCAAGAGUAAAGUAUGACUAUGACUAUGACAGUAUGAGCUAGUCAACCACUUCGAUUAGGGGUUGUUUUACGAUCAGGCCUCAGGGUACACCAAGAAAGAUGCCUCAUAGUCAUCAUAGUACAUAGCUCAUUUAUUUUUAAUGUGUGUGUGUUGUAUGAUGGCGGUGGACCUAAAGCUACACACUUUGUUUACAAACGAUAAUAACUAUGCCAAUUUUAAUCUAGCAAAUAAUCUUUCACAAAUUUGUGUUAAAUAUUGUAAAGAAUCAUAACCAUGAAAAAAUAUCACAAAGCUCACUAAUAAGAAAAUCUCGCCGUGUUUUCCGAACACCUCUUGAUUUCGCUGCCCGAUAUAGAAGGGGUCCUAAACUUAAAACUAUACGCACUCAAUUUAUCAUGCAAAGAAAAAGUAUUUCCUGUGCCUAAACUUCUAAAUAAUGUUCAUAAUCUUAAAGGAAAAUAUGAAAUCAAAGUGAAUAUAUAUAACUCCAAAAUUCCAAACAGUGGCUCGCUUUCUCUGUAUUUAGCCAUUUAUUGCAGCCUCUGUAGAAAAAAAUGAAUAGGAAAUCGUUUGUCACACUGCAGUCACAGCUCCACACAGUGCGCAUUUUGCACUUGAAACUUCAUGCGCAUAGGAGUGGUGCGUAGCUUUAGGACCCCCUAUACUUGUAUUUCAACAAGUAACAUGAUAUUCAAAUGUAGUAUGGCUUGUAGUAUUAGACUAGACCAAAAACUCAGUCCAUUUCACACAGGAUAUGCUCCACUGAGACUUCGUCUGGCUCAGCGGUAUCCUUCGAUUACCCAUAUGCACCGCCGUGGCGGAUGGAGUUCUCGAGCUCUCGUACAUGUAGGCGGCAAUGAUAACACGAGCGCUCGCGCAUUCGGAUGUUUUAGCUGCAUUAAAAACAUCGCGAUGGAAGAUCUGCAAACCUGGGGUCCAGUGCAGAAAGAGUUGCGAUCAAACACAGAGCUCUCCAAAUCUUAGGCAAAUCGAUUUUCAACCAAUCAAACACGCAUUUGCAUUCGGGAAUUGAGCUCAAUUUUUUUUACUUGUGUUUAAAUGCAGUUCUUUUUGAAACGGGCCCCUGACCUUGUAUAUUUGACAUCAAAAUUUUUAUUAUAAUAUAUUUUUCUUGAUGCUGGUAAAGCUGAUUAUAGGCGCCGCUUUUCCGACGGCGAUGGCGGCAGUGUCAACAUUGAAAUCUUAACCAAGGUUAAAUUUUUUAAAUGUCAUCAUAACUUAGAGAGUAUAUGAAUCUAAUUCAUGAAACUUGACACAAAGGUAACCAAGUAUCACUGAUCAUCCUGCAUUAGUUUUAGAUCACAUGAUCAAGGUCAGAGAUCGUGUAUGGUCAAUGAACUGUGGCCAUGUUUGGGGUGUCAGCAUUGAAAUCUUAACCAAGGUUAAAUUUUUGUAAUGUCAUCAUAACUUCAGAAGUAUAUGGACCUAGGACAUAAGGACAACCAAGUAUUACUGAACAUCUUUGGUUUGAGGUCACAUAACCAAUGUCACUUAGGGUCAAUGACCUGGACCAUGUUGGUCGAAUCAAUAUCGAUAUAUCUUAACCUAUAUGGUUAAAAUUUUGAAAUGUCAUAACUAAUAAAGUGUAUGAACCUACUUCAUGAGACUUUCAUAUAAGGGUCAUGAAGUGGUACUGGACAUCCUGCCCGAGUUUUAGGUCACAUGACCAAGGUUGAACUUUGGUCAUGUUGGUGGUAUUUCCCUUGUAACUCUGAAUUCUUAUGGAGUUCAUAAAACUUAGGAGUAAUCAAGUACCACUGACUAUCCUGUGCGAGUUUCAGGUCUCAUAACCAAGGUCAAAGGUCAUGUACGGUCAAUGUACUUUAGACGUGUUGGGGAUAUUUGUUAAAUUGGCAUAACUUCAAAAAUUCAUGGAUCUAGUUGAACAUCAAACAUAGACAAUGGCCAGAAGGAAGCAUAUGUUAGUCUGGCCACAAGUAGAUAUGUGUUAGCAUCACAAAAUAAGGGAAAUGACGAAAGGAUCAGAUGCUAUACGGAUAAGCAACCAAAAUCUUUAAAAAAAACAAGUCUCAUGUAGGCUUAUAUCAUGUAUAAUUAUGUGUACGGUAUAUGUAUUAAUAUUGUACGGUAGGCCUAUGAUAUAUUUUUCAUUAAAAAUGCGCAUCCUAUAAUUACACGUUGUUCCUUUAGCAUAACAUAAAAUGAGUUAUCUUACAUAUUCUUUGAAAAUGUCUUUGUUUUGUGUGACAUUAAGACAAAUAUCAUUCAUUAUAUUGAUAAACGCAUUUAAUUUGAAGAAAUUAUGUUGCGAAAAAAAACUUAAACUACAGGUAGUUUUCACAAAUUUUUAUUUUGGGUAAAUCUCGGUUUUAUGAUUCAUUUCGCCAUACACUGUGUGUAAUAUACAACUUUCAGAUGUAAACUGUAAAUGAAAGUGAUCUUAAAUGAAAGGUAUUUACCUUGUGUUACACAUUCUGUCAAAAAAUUAAGAAGCAUGAUUUUUAAAAUUUCUCUCAAAUUUUAAGUCAAAAAUGACACUUUCAUGAAAAAAAUGUUUGUGGCAUCCGGCCGAGCAUUAUUCCUCUGUAUUUUGGCAAGACUUUAAGCUUGGGUGCCAAGCAUUAACAAAUUUUGCCGUCCAAAGUGUAAGUAAAUUAAAUUGAUCCAUUAAUUUUUGGGGCCAUUCUGAAAAAGUGAAGACCAGAACACGUUUUCAAAAUAAUUGUGCCCUAACCCAACUAAAGUUCCUACCUGUCUUUUUGGAAAUUUUGGUUUGGUUAAAUUUGGUUAAAUUUUUGAAAUGUCAUCAUAACUUAGAGAGUAUAUGAAUCUAAUUCAUGAAACUUGACACAAGGGUAACCAAGUAUCACUGAUCAUCCUGCAUUAGUUUUAGAUCACAUGAUCAAGGUCAGAGAUCAUUUAUGGUCAAUGAACUUUGGCCAUGUUUGGGGUGUCAGCAUUGAAAUCUUAACCAAGGUUAAAUUUUUGAAAUGUCAUAACUUAGAAAGUAUAUGGACCUAGGACAUAAGGACAACCAAGUAUUACUGAACAUCUUUGGUUUGAGGUCACAUGAACAAGGUCGAAGGUCACUUGGGGUCAAUGACCUGGACCAUGUUGGUCGAAUCAAUAUCGAUAUAUCUUAACCUACAUUGUAUGGUUAAGUUUUUGAAAUGUCAUAACUUAGAAAGUGUAUGAACCUAGUUCAUGAGACUUACAUAUAAGGGUCAUGAAGUGGUACUGGAAAUCCUGCCCGAGUUUUAGGUCACAUGACCAAGGACAAAGGUCAUUUAGGGUCCAUGAACUUUGGGCAUGCUAGGAGUAAUUGUUCAAUUUCCAUUGUAUCUUAGAAUUUUUUUGAACUAGUUCAUAAAACUUGGACAUAAGAGUAAUCAAGUACCACUGAAUAUCCUGUGCGAGUUUCAGGUCUCAUAACCAAGGUCAAAGGUCAUGUAGGGUCAAUGUACUUUAGACGUGUUGGGGAUAUUUGUUAAUUUGGCAUAACUUCAAAAAUUCAUGGAUCUAGUUGCACAUCAAACAUAGACAUGUGAUGGUAAUCAAGUAUCAAUUAUUGUUUUUGACACAUCUUGCGUCACAUAAUAACUGCCAGAGGUAAUUUUUGGUCAGUGGACAUAUUAUUUUACUAUCAUAUGAAGAUUUCCCUUUUUUCAAUAAUUAUUAAAUACCUGUUUUCGAAAUCAGCACUGAUGCUUUUUCUAAUUGCGUAAUGCAGACGAGACUGCCAGAGGUGUUCAACUUGUUUUAAUGCUCAUCAUAUUAACUGAGGAAGUAUAUGGACUAAGUUCAUGGAACUUGGACAUAAGGAUAACCAAGUGUCAUUGAUCAUCCUGCAUGAGGGUCAAAGGUCAUUUAGAGUCAAUGAACUUAGAAUAUACUAAUUUUUUUGUCUCGUCUGCAAAGCAGAGCGAGACUAUAGGCGCCGCUUUUCCGACGGCGGCGGCAGCGUCAACAAUUCAAUUCAUUCAAUUCAAUUCAUUUAUUCUUCUCCAUUAAAAAACAACAAAAUACGUACAUUUGAAAUACACAUGUAUAUACAAAAAUAGAUCAAAUACAUAAGCAUAGUAAAUUAAUAUUGUAAGUGAUAGAAAUAAAUGGAAAAUGGAACACCUGUAGAAAGCUUUUUUUAAAAAGCUUGUAAAUGGCAGGAGUCCAAAAGUUAACAAAAUACAAAUAUAAUAAUGAUAUUAAUAAUAUUAGAUGGUGCAUGUAUUUGAAUUCAGUGUCUUGCCCCCUAUCCCCACCUGGCCCCCUGUCCCACCCCCCUACCCCCAUCUCUCUCUCAGGUAGAAUUCAAAAUUAAUAUAGGCUAAAAUCUAAAUUGAAAUAAAAUUAAUAUGACAACAAAUAAACUUUAAGAUUUUUUUUGAAAGUAUUCAAAAAGACAUUCUCCGUAAUCGAAGUUGGUAAUGAGUUCUAUACUGUGGGCCCUGUGUAUCUAACUGUUUUUUUGCAUAUACUGCUUAUCAAUAUUCCAGAUAUGUAAUUUUUUACUAUUUCGAGUGUUAUAUUUGUGAAUCAUAGAAUUAGUUUCAAACAUAUUGGCAAGAGGAGGCAAAAUGGUUCCUUUGAUACACUUGAAUACAAAAAAGUGUUCAAUUUAUAAAUAUCUAAUGUGUUUAACUGUUUGAAUAGAGGUUUAAAAUGAGCUAAAUAAUGCGAGUUUGUACAAAUACGCAAGCAACGCUUUUGCAGUAAAAACAAUGGUUUCAACUUUGAAGGGGUUGAAUUUGCCCAAACGAUAUUACCAUAGGACAAAUAAGAUAAAAUUAGUGAAUUAUAAAUAGUAAACAAUAUAUUCAAUGGUAAAUAGUGUUUAAGUUUUGAAAGUAAUCCUGUAGUUUUGCUGAUUUUUUAAGAGAUCAUUGUAAUAUGAGGCUUCCAUGAGAGAUUCUCAUCUAAUAGUAUACCUAGGAAUUGUAUGUUAGAUACUCUUUCAAUAAGAGUUUCAUCUAUAUAUAAUGGGGGUACUUCAUAUAUUACUUGCUUUCUAUUGCUAGUUUGUUUUGAAAAGAAUACAUUUUUUGGGGGUUAAAUUUAGUGAUAAUUUGUUAACUUUAAGCCUCAAUGAUACCUAUUUUCAUUAAACUGAUUAACUAAUAAAUGUAUAUUGUUAUUACUCAUAAACAAUGAAGUGUCAUCAGCAAACUGUAUAAACUUAAAGAAGAUGCAGAGUUACAAAUAUCAUUUAUGUAUAAGAGAAAUAAAAGGGGGCCCAAAUUUGAUCCUUGCGGAAUUCCGCAUUCCAUCAGCAAUUGUGAAGAAGUACACCCAUUAUAUUCUGUAAACUAAUAUCUAUUAGAAAAGUAACUCUUGAUCCAUUUCAAUGCUAUCCCUCUUACACCAUAAUUAGUCAUUUUCUCAAAAAGUAUAGAAAAAUUUAUAGUAUCAAAGGCCUUACUUGGUCCAUAAAAACACCAAAAAUAAACUGGUUUGAAUAAAAAGCAUUAACAAUUCUAUCAUGAACAGAUAUCAUAGCCGAAUCUGUAGAAAUAUUUCUUCUAAAUCCAAACUGAUCAUUAUGUAAUACAUUAUGUUUUGCUAAAAAACCAUAUAACCUAUUGUAAAAUAUUUUCUCAACAAUCUUUGAAAAGCAAGAAAGGAGUGAUAUAGGGCGAUAAUUACCAAUUAUUUCUUUAUCCCCCUUUUUAAAUAUUGGAAUAUUUUUAUAUAUUUUUUAUUUAUACCCCAAAUUAUAUGCAUUAAUAGACUCUCACAUGAGAAACAGAAUUACAAAAUAUUGGCUGAAAAGUAUGGAUCGUUUUCUUGUAGGGCACCCUCAAAGUUGGAUUUUUGUCUCGCCUGCGUAGCGGAGCAAGACAUAGGUAUCACUAUUUCCGGCGUCGUCGUCAACAAUUUUGUUGUACACCCAUUAACUUUCUAUAGCUUCAAGGUGGGAUCACCAUAUUCAUACCAGAGGUCCAUCUCCUGAAGGCACAGGUCAAGUUCGAAUAUGAGUCGAAUUUGAAUAAGGUCAAAGCUCAAAGGUCAAUGAACUUUCCAUGACUGGCACUGUGCUGUGUUGUACACACAAUAACUUUCUAUAGCUUCGAGGUGGGAUCGCCAAAUUCAUACAAGAGGUCCAUCUCUGGAAGGUGCAGGUCAAGUUCGAAUGUGAGUUGAAUUUGAUUAAGGUCAAAGGUCAAUGAACUUUCCAUGACUGGCACUGUGCUGUGUUGUACACACAAUAACUUUCUAUAGCUUCGAGGUGGGAUCGCCAAAUUCAUACAAGAGGUCCAUCUCUGGAAGGUGCAGGUCAAGUUCGAAUGUGAGUUGAAUUUGAUUAAGGUCAAAGGUCAAUGAACUUUCCAUGACUGGCACUGUGCUGUGUUGUACACCCAAUAACUUUCUAUAGCUUCGAGGUGGGAUCGCCAAAUUCAUACAAGAGGUCCAUCUCUUGAAGGUGCAGGUCAAGUUCGAAUGUGAGUUGAAUUUGAUUAAGGUCAAAGGUCAAUGAACUUUCCAUGACUGGCACUGUGCUGUGUUGUACACCCAAUAACUUUCUAUAGCUUCAAGGUGGGAUCACCAAAUUCAUACCAGAGGUCCAUCACCUGAAGGCACAGGUUAAGUUCGAAUAUGAGUCGAAUUUGAAUAAGGUCAAAGGUCAAUGAACUUUCCAUGACUGGCACUGUGCUAUGUUGUACACAUAAUAACUUUCUAUAUCUUCGAGGUGGGAUCACCAAAUUCAUACCAGAGGUCCAUCUCCUGAAGGCACAGGUCAAGUUCGAAUAUGAGUCGAAUUUGAAUAAGGUCAAAGGUAAAUGAACUUUCCCUGACUGGCACUGUGCUGUGUUGUACACACAAUAACUUUCUAUAGCUUGUAGUACUUCACUCUUGCAUCAUUUACUUAUCAUAUGCACACAGAUCAAUUUAGAAAACCCUACUGCUAAAGUGAAGGCAAGAUGGCUAAAAAUCACACACAAUAAGUUUUUAUAUUUAUCUUUCAUGCACAACCUUUCCUCCAUUUUUUCAAACAAUAAGUUUGCCAUAACACCAUAAUAAUUAAUUUAAUUUUACAAUUUUACUCACAUUAUUAUCAAUUACAUUCUUUUUCAUAAACAUUCAUUUCCUUACUUGCAUGGAAAUAAUUAUAGCUUCAUAGUAUUAACAGCAUUCUUAGUGUUAUCUGAUUUUCUAGGGAUAAAGUAGGCCUAUACCAUUAAUGCAUAUGUAAACUGUCAGAACCACAAUUCACCCCCUAAACUGCUGAUAGCCUCAGAAGUCAUAUAGCAUAGUUUUGACAUGCAGUCUCUUCAUGACUGCAAUAUGCAGGUGAGACAACGCUUGGCGUUUGCCUUGUUUAAAGAAGAUGCCAAGCUCAAGGUCAAGGAUCACCCCUUGUCCCAUUGAGGAGCGACACCAGUUUUUAUGCUCUAGACAUUUACCCAUAUUUCCAAGGGUUACAUAAGAAAUUUUGCUACCGUAAGGUUAAAUGGCUAAUUUGUGCAUUCCAAAAUGGUCGUAAACACCCCUAAAUUGAUGUAAAAUGACACAUAAUGCUUUUCAACACACUUCAAGUUGUGAUAACUCAAAAAUGAAAAGCCAAGACACAAUGAUAUCUUCUGAGAUGUUAUGAUAGACAGUGAUUAGUGCCACAAGGAUAUAACAUUACAAGUAGUUUGUGAUGUUGGUAAUGACCUUGAAAAUACAGCUGAAAUUCACGGACAAUAAAUUUUCCAAGAAAGAACGUACGGUGUUAAAGUGUGUUUACAUUGACUUUCAAUUGUGUGUCAUUUCAAAACUAAAUGUAACUUUAAGCUGAUUAUUUGAAAUCAUGUUCCAUUUGUGAUCUAUUUUAAGCUACCUAUGAUAUCUGAAGUCAUAACCAUAUCAUUUGACAUUGAAAUUAUUUUUUAAAAUGGCUUUAAUAAAAGCCUCAUAUGUAGCAUAUUCACAAGACAUGAAAUUUGCAACACGUUUCAAAAUUGAUUUUCUGACAUACAUGUACAGAAUGCCUGAUCAUGUUGAUAUUUGCAGUACAUACAUGUAAGAAGUCUACAGUGAGCACUUGAGGAUCUGUGAUUAAAUCAUUACUUUAUUAUCAGCCUUUUACCAAUAUUCAACCACUGAAAUAAUAUAAUUUAUCUCAAUUUACUUUAUCUUUGCUCCUAAUUAAAAAAUAACCCCAAUUAGAAUUACAUAGAAAUCCUACAUGUAUGUAUAAAGUACAUGUAUGGUGUAUCCCGUACAUCGCACAUUUGUCCCGUAUGUCACAAAGCUUAAUUAGCUGAAAUAAUUAAACAUGUAAUUGAUUCAGUAAAUUCACUUUAAUUUUUGGAUGUAUAGUACUAUAAAUUAGAACUCUCCAAACUUCCAAAGUGUGAAGAAAACUGUUCAACUUUUCCUUGAUUAAAAUCUAAAAAACCUAUGCUAAAUUGUCACGUAUGGGACACUGCCUGUUGGACACCAGAUAAUUAACCUAAUUAAUUAAUUUUAAAAAUAAUUUUCUCUCAAAUGUUUGCAUUAACUUAGCACUACAAGUCCCCACAGAAAUAUUUUCAAAUAUAUAAUUUUCAUUAUCUGCAGAUCAAAAAAUGUGAUGUCCCGUACGUCACGCUAAAUAAUGAUUUCUUGGAAUCGUGACCUUACAUGUAGCAUUCAUUAACUUUACGUUUCAGAAGAAAAAAAUAUAGGGCAAAAAACUUCAGAGUACAAGCUUUAAAAUUACAUUUUGAAUUGUUGAAAAUGAGAUUUAGUAUUAUUAGGAAUGUGUUAUAGACUAUCACCAUGGCAAAAUAUUAAUUUUUGAGGUAUAGUGUUUAUGAUGUCAUUUGAGAAUAUUUCUGUUGAUAUUUUCUGGGAGAAUAUCGCCGGGACCUAUACUUAAAUGAAAGUCCAAUUGUUUCUGAUACAAGAGUUGCCAGUUGAGCAAUUUUAAGCCACUUUUAGCCAUUUAUAAUACUGCAUUAAAAAUAUUUGUUAUCGUUUUCAAAUUUGCUACCAUGGCAAUGGCCAGAAGGAAGCGUAUGUUAGUCUGGCCACAAGUAGAUAUGUGUUAGCAUCACAAAAUAAGGGAAAUGACGAAUGGAUCAGAUGCUAUACGGAUAAGCAACCGAAAUCUUUAAAAAAAUAAGUCUCAUGUAGGCUUAUAUCAUGUAUAAUUAUGUGUACGGUAUAUGUAUUAAUAUUGUACGGUAUGAUACAAUUUUCAUUAAAAAUGCGCAUCCUAUAAUUACACAUUGUUCCAUUUAGCAUAACAUAAAAUGAGUUAUCUUACAUAUAUUCUUUGAAAAUGUCUUUGUUUUGUGUGACAUUAAGACAAAUAUCAUUCAUUAUAUUGAUAAACGCAUUUAAUUUGAAGAAUUUAUGUUGCGCAAAAAAACUUAAACUACAGGUAGUUUUCACAAAUUUUUAUUUUGGGUAAAUCUCGGUUUUAUGAUUCAUUUCGCCAUACACUGUGUGUAAUAUACAACUUUCAGAUGUAAACUGUAAAUAAAAGUGAUCUUAAAUGAAAGGUAUUUACCUCGUGUUACACAUUCUGUCAAAAAAUUAAAAAGCAUGAUUUUUAAAAUUUCUUUCAAAUUUUACGCCAAAAAUGACACUUUCACGCGAAAAAUGCGCAUGGCAUCCUCUGUAUUUUGGCAAGACUUUAAGCUUGGGUGCCAAGCAUUAACAAAUUUUGCCGUCCAAAGUGUAAGAAAUCGUCUUAGCCGGUCUACUAACAUAAGAAAUACAGUGUAAGAAGUUGGUGAUGUCAUUAGUAUUCUCAUCUGCAGACCGUAGUGGGUGUUUCAUAAAGUUGUUUCAGGGAAUAAUUUUCCUGGUAAUGUGGUGCUGUUACACAUAAUUGUUACAAUAAUUCCUAUUUAUAGCACAUGUUUUUAUAUGGGUCAUUUCACCAGGUUGGGACACAGUAGUUGUAACUAGUUGUAACAUUUUCAAUCAUUUAUUUAAUAGAUUUAUGUCAUCCUACAUGUAUGUGGCAGCAUAAUAUGUAUUUAGUUAUUGUAAAUACUAGAAAGUAUAGAGAAAAAAUAUAACCUGACAUUAAAUUUCGUGUUUGUCCGUGCAUUUUUGUGAGAGUUCAUUAAAUGUCAGGCCAAAACUUGUCAGAAUAGUUCAUAUGUUCAUGAGUAUCACAUAUGACCAAGAAAUAAAAUUGUUUUAUAUAUUUAAUGAUACAUACCAUGUCUCACUAAUGUGUCCCAACCUGGUGAGAUGACCCAUAUAUUCUACAGAAUCUGCUUGGCAGCAUUCUUCUUUAAAUGACCCAAAAUGCCAAUGAAAUUUGUGAAACAAAAUAAUUCAAAAUAAAAUAAACAAAAUAAUAAUCAGAGAGCGAAGUUGGCUCAGUCGGUAAAGCGUCUGCCCAAAGAACCAAAGAUCGUGGGUUCAAGUCCACCCCGGGCGGAUGACUGAAGCCAGAGCGUUGUGUGUAAACGUCUCUCCCAUGUUUCAUAGAUGCAGGCUAUGUUACAGUGGAAGACACUCUGUCCAUCGGAUAGGACAUUAAAUGGAGGCCCUGUGUAGAGGAGAAUCACCACCUUUUCACGUUAAGAACCCACUGCACUAUUCGAAUAAGAGUAGGGAGAAACCCUGGCAUAGUGGUCCACCUGCAUUCCACCAACCAGUUAUCGGGAGGAGAGACCUGUGGGUCAUAGUUCUGUGUGCGCGCCCUUGUAGGCGACCCAGAUUGGAUGGCUCCUCCAAUGCGCCUUUGAAUGUCUUUGACAGAUAUAUGGCACUAUACAAAUACUGUGCAUCAUCAUCGUAAUUCCUAUUAUUUGUUAUUUAUGAGGGAUUUUACACAUGACUGUUGAUACAUGGACCUUCUUAGGGAAUUAUUUUCUUAGUAUUGCAUCUCAAUUUACUACAUUUUCAUAAAUACUACAGUAGCCUACAUGUGUUGCAAGUGUUUACAAAGGAUUGUACUUUAUUUAGUAAUGUAAUCUUUUACUUGAUAAUCAACUCUGUUUAAUCAAAUUAGAAAAGGUCAAUUAUUUUGUUAUUUAUUUCUCCUUCUGAGCAGUGUACACGUACAACUUGUUUAAAAACAUGAUAUCAGCACCUAAGAAGGUAUAUAAACAGUCAUUUGUAGAUUAACUUAUAAACAUCUUUGUGAAUCACCCACCAUUUAUUGAUUUCAAUUAAACAUUACUUUACAGUAUCUCUUUGAUUUUUUUCAGAUGGAGAAUCUCAACCAAGAAGAAAACCAAGAUGAAUCAAGUCAUCAUAAGAAUGAUAAUCCAAAACAGGAAAAACAAAAAAAGAAGUACAGGAUUGUAGUUUAUGAAAUAAGGAACAUGAAUGCUAAAUUUGGCCUCAUCGCAAUGACAGUAUUACAGAGAUAGAGAUUGCCUUGAUGAGCCAUCUGAGCUUGAUUCCAACUGUCAUAGAAAAUAUGAUAAAGAGGAGGAUAGAAGGGAGAAAUGCUAUUAAUGUAUAUGGGUCAAUCCACAUCAAAUCAACCAAUUUUUAGACAAUUUGUCACCAGACCCCUUCGAUUUUCUUUAAACUCGCACCAAAUGUUCCCCCAAGUGUCUGACCUAAAAAUCUGAAAUAUUUUGCCCCAAGGUCAAAUGGUUGCUAAGAUAUGGCCUACCUUAGCAACAAAUGCAUGGCCAAACAAUCGAGUUAAAUAAAAUUAACUAAUUUUGAUUGACUGCUGCAGCCAAGUUUGAUGAGGUACAUAUAGAGUACUUAUUUUCUGUAAAUUGGAAGAACUUUUAUAGUCUUAACACACACAAUAUAUUAUGACAUGGAUCUGACCAGCCGUUAUUGCACACAAGGUUGCCAUAAAUGGUGUAAAGCAUCGAAGUCAAUGAUUUUGGGUUCAUGUUUGGAGGCUCAUAACUUCCAAAUUCAAUUAGUUUUAAUAGAACCCAAUAUUAUGCAUAUAUGAAGACUAUGACUUGCUUUAUAGACCUACAAAAAAUUGGCCCAAACAUGCUCGUCAAUCCAUUGUUUUAACAUUUUUAGGCAGUAAUUUGUGAAGAAUACAUGUAGCCCCCCCCUCCCACAUAUAUAUAUAUAUAUAUAACUGCCUGCAUAUAAUGUAUUAUAUAGAGAGGAGUAUUACAUAUGUCUUCUUUGUAAUUUUAUUUUAUAUUAUUAUUUUGCUUGUGAGUAGGCCUCAUGUAAGAGUUUGAUUUAUCUCUGUAUCUAAUUAUUGUAUGUACAUAUGGUGAUUAAUUAUUUUCAUUUUCCUAUUAUUUUGAUUGUAUUAUUUUCAUAUAUAAUUUCUUAUUCUUGUGGUAUUCCUUUGUUCUUUUCAUGUUUGGAGGCUCAUAACUUCCAAAUUCAAUUAGUUUUGAUAGAACCCAAUAUUAUGCAUAUAUGAAGACUAUGACUUGCUUAAUAGACCUACAAAAAAUUGGCCCAAACAUGCUUGUCAAUCCAUUGUUUUAACAUUUUUAGGCAGUAAUUUGUGAAGAAUACAUGUAGCCCCCCCCCUCCCACAUAUAUAUAUAUAUAAAACUGCCUGCAUAUAAUGUAUUAUAUAGAGAGGAGUAUUACAUAUGUCUUCUUUGUAAUUUUAUUUUAUAUUAUUAUUUUGCUUGUGAGUAGGCCUCAUGUAAGACUUUGAUUUAUUUCUGUAUCUAAUUAUUGUAUGUACAUAUGGUGAUAAAUUAUUUUCAUUUUCCUAUUAUUUUGAUUGUAUUAUUUUCAUAUCAUAUAAUUUAUUAUGCUUGUGCUAUUCCUUUGUUUAUUUAAUUGUGUGGUAUGUCAUGAGCUUACACUAUAAAGAUCUGUAAAGCAGAAUACUAGCAGGCUCAUAUGUGUUUGUUUUGCCCUUGCUAUCCCUUUCCAAAUAUCAUUGAGUUUGAGAGAUAAUUACAAAUUCAAACAUUUCACUCCCAAGAUUUGAGCAGUGCGCCCUACCACAUUUUUUUAAUGCCAUUUUGGAAUCCUUGGGGAAUUUCAUUCUGGAAAUAGUAUACUUUUGGUAUGGAUAGAUUAAAUAAUUUUACAAUUAAGACCAUUUUUAUAUCAUUAGAUACAAACACAAAUGAAGCUAAUUAAAAAAUGCAUAGGCGCAUAUGAGAUUUGAAAAAGUCUGGAUCGUUGUGGGAGCAAAAAAAGGUCUACAAAAAUGAAUGUAAAUGCUGAAUUUUAUCAUCUUUUAUUAAAUUUAAAUUGACUUGUUUAGAGCAUCAGAUAAUACAUGUGAAUAAUCAUUUCACUUGACUUUUACAAUGAAUUCAUUUUAUAAAGGAGCAAACAACUUGCAACUUACUACAAUAUACCUUAAAUGGCUCUGUGGUAUAUAUCAAGGUAUUGUGCACAUGACAAAUUCAUAUGUUUCUAUAAAUUUAAGGGGGCUCAUGUAAUUUUGACCCUUAAAUGCUCAAAUAGCCCCUACAAUUUUUCACUGCUAUAUGAAUGUUGAAGCUUAUCCAUUGUUUUCACAUUUUAGGCAGUAAUUUGUGAAGAAUACAUGUAGCCCCCCCUCCCACAUAUAUAUAUAUAUAACUGCCUGCAUAUAAUGUAUUAUAUAGAGAGGAGUAUUACAUAUGUCUUCUUUGUAAUUUUAUUUUAUAUUAUUAUUUUGCUUGUGAGUAGGCCUUAUGUAACACUUUGAUUUAUUUCUGUAUCUAAUUAUUGUAUGUACAUAUGGUGAUAAAUUAUUUUCAUUUUCCUAUUAUUUUCAUAUAUAAUUUCUUAUUCUUGUGGUAUUCAUUUUGUUAUUUUAAUUGUGUGGUAUGUCAUGAGCUUACACUAUAAAGAUCUGUAAAGCAGAAUACUAGCAGGCUCAUAUGUGUUUGUUUUGCCCUUGCUAUCCCUUUCCAAAUAUCAUUGAGUUUGAGAGAUAAUUACAAAUUCAAACAUUUCACUCCCAAGAUUUGAGCAGUGCGCCCUACCACAUUUUUUAAAUGCCAUUUUGGAAUCCUUGGGGAAUUUCAUUCUGGAAAUAGUAUACUUUUGGUAUGGAUAGAUUAAAUAAUUUUACAAUUAAGACCAUUUUUAUAUCAUUAGAUACAAACACAAAUGAAGCUAAUUAAAAAAUGCAUAGGCGCAUAUGAGAUUUGAAAAAGUCUGGAUCGUUGUGGGAGCAAAAAAAGGUCUACAAAAAUGAAUGUAAAUGCUGAAUUUUAUCAUCUUUUAUUAAAUUUAAAUUGACUUGUUUAGAGCAUCAGAUAAUACAUGUGAAUAAUCAUUUCACUUGACUUUUACAAUGAAUUCAUUUUAUAAAGGAGCAAACAACUUGCAACUUACUACAAUAUACCUUAAAUGGCUCUGUGGUAUAUAUCAAGGUAUUGUGCACAUGACAAAUUCAUAUGUUUCUAUAAAUUUAAGGGGGCUCAUGUAAUUUUGACCCUUAAAUGCUCAAAUAGCCCCUACAAUUUUUCACUGCUAUAUGAAUGUUGAAGCUUAUCCAUUGUUUUCACAUUUUAGGCAGUAAUUUGUGAAGAAUACAUGUAGCUCCCCCUCCCACAUAUAUAUAUAUAUAACUGCCUGCAUAUAAUGUAUUAUAUAGAGAGGAGUAUUACAUAUGUCUUCUUUGUAAUUUUAUUUUAUAUUAUUAUUUUGCUUGUGAGUAGGCCUUAUGUAACACUUUGAUUUAUUUCUGUAUCUAAUUAUUGUAUGUACAUAUGGUGAUAAAUUAUUUUCAUUUUCCUAUUAUUUUCAUAUAUAAUUUCUUAUUCUUGUGGUAUUCAUUUUGUUAUUUUAAUUGUGUGGUAUGUCAUGAGCUUACACUAUAAAGAUCUGUAAAGCAGAAUACUAGCAGGCUCAUAUGUGUUUGUUUUGCCCUUGCUAUCCCUUUCCAAAUAUCAUUGAGUUUGAGAGAUAAUUACAAAUUCAAACAUUUCACUCCCAAGAUUUGAGCAGUGCGCCCUACCACAUUUUUUAAAUGCCAUUUUGGAAUCCUUGGGGAAUUUCAUUUUGGAAAUAGUAUACUUUUGGUAUGGAUAGAUUAAAUAAUUUUACAAUUAAGACCAUUUUUAUAUCAUUAGAUACAAACACAAAUGAAGCUAAUUAAAAAAUGCAUGGGCGCAUAUGAGAUUUGAAAAAGUCUGGAUCGUUGUGGGAGCAAAAAAAGGUCUACAAAAAUGAAUGUAAAUGCUGAAUUUUAUCAUCUUUUAUUAAAUUUAAAUUGACUUGUUUAGAGCAUCAGAUAAUACAUGUGAAUAAUCAUUUCACUUGACUUUUACAAUGAAUUCAUUUUAUAAAGGAGCAAACAACUUGCAACUUACUACAAUAUACCUUAAAUGGCUCUGUGGUAUAUAUCAAGGUAUUGUGCACAUGACAAAUUCAUAUGUUUCUAUAAAUUUAAGGGGGCUCAUGUAAUUUUGACCCUUAAAUGCUCAAAUAGCCCCUACAAUUUUUCACUGCUAUAUGAAUGUUGAAGCUUAUCCAUUGUUUUCACAUUUUAGGCAGUAAUUUGUGAAGAAUACAUGUAGCCCCCCCUCCCACAUAUAUAUAUAUAUAACUGCCUGCAUAUAAUGUAUUAUAUAGAGAGGAGUAUUACAUAUGUCUUCUUUGUAAUUUUAUUUUAUAUUAUUAUUUUGCUUGUGAGUAGGCCUUAUGUAACACUUUGAUUUAUUUCUGUAUCUAAUUAUUGUAUGUACAUAUGGUGAUAAAUUAUUUUCAUUUUCCUAUUAUUUUCAUAUAUAAUUUCUUAUUCUUGUGGUAUUCAUUUUGUCAUUUUAAUUGUGUGGUAUGUCAUGAGCUUACACUAUAAAGAUCUGUAAAGCAGAAUACUAGCAGGCUCAUAUGUGUUUGUUUUGCCCUUACUACCCCUUUCCAAAUUCGUAUGUUGAAGCUUAUCCAUUGUUUUCACAUUUUAGGCAGUAAUUUGUGAAGAAUACAUGUAGCCCCCCCCCCCCCACAUAUAUGUAUAUAUAUAACUGCCUGCAUAUAAUGUAUUAUAUAGAGAGGAGUAUUACAUAUGUCUUCUUUGUAAUUUUAUUUUAUAUUAUUAUUUUGCUUGUGAGUAGGCCUCAUGUAAGACUUUGAUUUAUUUCUGUAUCUAAUAAUUGUAUGUACAUAUGGUGAUAAAUUAUUUUCAUUUUCCUAUUAUUUUGAUUGUAUUAUUUUCAUAUAUAAUUUCUUAUUCUUGUGGUAUUCUUUUUGUUAUUUUAAUUGUGUGGUAUGUCAUGAGCUUACACUAUAAAGAUCUGUAAAGCAGAAUACUAGCAGGCUCAUAUGUGUUUGUUUUGCCCUUGCUAUCCCUUUCCAAAUAUCAUUUGAGUUUGAGAGAUAAUUACAAAUUCAAACAUUUCACUCCCAAGAUUUGAGCAGUGCGCCCUACCACAUUUUUUUAAUGCCAUUUUGGAAUCCUUGGGGAAUUUCAUUCUGGAAAUAGUAUACUUUUGGUAUGGAUAGAUUAAAUAAUUUUACAAUUAAGACCAUUUUUAUAUCAUUAGAUACAAACACAAAUGAAGCUAAUUAAAAAAUGCAUGGGCGCAUAUGAGAUUUGAAAAAGUCUGGAUCGUUGUGGGAGCAAAAAAAGGUCUACAAAAUGAAUGUAAAUGCUGAAUUUUAUCAUCUUCUAUUAAAGAUAAAUUGACUUGUUUAGAGCAUCAGAUAAUACCUGUGAAUAAUCAUUUCACUUGACUUUUACAAUGAAUUCAUUUUCUAAAGGAGCGAACAAGUUGCAACUUACUACAAUAUAUUGUGAAUAAUCAUUUCACAAGACUUUUACAAUGAAUUCAUUUUCUUUGGGAACGAACAAGUUGCAACUUUCUACAAUAUAAUUAUCUUAAUAUGCUCUUUGGUAAAUGAAUGUUUCAACGAGAUAUUUUGCACAAGUGUAUGCAAUUUUAUUUUCUUUAACCAUAAUAAGGUUUCACUGUUAAAUAACUUUCUCUUUGAAUUUUUGCGAAACAUUAGAGACCAAAUUUGCAGUACUGAAAUUACACAACGUUUCGUAAAUGCUUGUCGACCAAAAAUGCCCAAAAACGUGAAAUUUGUACAAAUUUCAUCCAAUUCUGUUUUUUGCCAAAAUUAUUGUUAAUUUUACUUAUCUUGAUUAUGGUCAGAAUAAAGUUUGUUUAAAAACAAAAUAAACAUAAGAAAAAAUGUGAUAUUAAUUUUUUUCAAAGUACGAUUGAUCAUAAUCUUACAAAUAGUAUGUGAAUACAGAAUUAAAAGUUUGGGGGCCAUAUUCAGUUAAUGAGCGCAAACCUUUGAUUAUAUGCAUUAGCAUAAUUAAUAUUGUGACUUUUCGAAUUACUUGAUCCUAUCGUUUUGUAGAUAUUUGCCAUGAGUAAUGCGCAUGCAGAUUUUCGUCGCGGUCGACGGCCGUGAUCUUAGGGGGGGGGGGGCAAAAUCAGCCCCUCACCAGUCUCCUUCGGCAUCAAAAUAGCCCAGUCUAUUUACACAGUGAAAACGCUGUUUAAGAUUUUAUACAACGCUGUUUA